UGGGGAAUUUUGGACAAUGGGGGAAACCCUGAUCCAGCCAUCCCGCGUGUGCGAUGAAGGCCUUCGGGUUGUAAAGCACUUUUGGCAGGAAAGAAACGUCAUGGGUUAAUACCCCGUGAAACUGACGGUACCUGCAGAAUAAGCACCGGCUAACUACGUGCCAGCAGCCGCGGUAAUACGUAGGGUGCAAGCGUUAAUCGGAAUUACUGGGCGUAAAGCGUGCGCAGGCGGUUCGGAAAGAAAGAUGUGAAAUCCCAGAGCUCAACUUUGGAACUGCAUUUUUAACUACCGGGCUAGAGUGUGUCAGAGGGAGGUGGAAUUCCGCGUGUAGCAGUGAAAUGCGUGGAUAUGCGAAGGAACACCGAUGGCGAAGGCAGCCUCCUGGGAUAACACUGACGCUCAUGCACGAAAGCGUGGGGAGCAAACAGA
rnacentral:rRNA from 1 species